rnacentral:lncRNA from 1 species
AUAAAUAUUUGUUGAAAGAACAUUUGUUCAAGAAUGCAUCAUUAGAAUGCAUUCAUUUUCAGCCAGGCGCCAUGGCUCACGCCUGUAAUCCCAGCACUUUGGGAGGCCAGGGCUGGUGGAUCACCUGAGGUCAGGAGCUCAAGACCAGCCUGGCCAACAUGGCAAAACCCUGUCUCUUCUAAAAAUACAAAAAUUAGCCAAGUGUGGUGGUGCACACCCGUAAUCUCAGCUACUCAGGAAGCAGAGGGUGCAGUGAGCCGAGAUCACACCACUGCACUCCAGACUGGGCAACAGAGUGAGACUCCAACUCAAAAAAAAAAAAAAAAAGUCUUCAUUUUGAAAACACAUGACAUGACUUUAAAAGUGAAAGCUACCGAAAUUCUGACUGGGAAACAAUGAUAUCAAGCUAAAGGUGGUCAAAGAAGAGCUGGGACGAGCCCAUUGAAAAAUACUCCUAUUUAAACAAGAAAGAAAGGUACAUUUUGGACAGGAGAACAGUAUGACACUGUAAUGAAAAGUAAAAAUAAAGUAUGCCUAAAAAAACUAUAAUUAUAUCAGACUGGAGACAUGGGCUCAGAGAAAUGUGCACAGCGGUAAACCUGUUACGUUGAAGCCGUAUUACCAAGAUUUCCAGAGAACAUGUCAAGAUGCAACUGAAAUAUAUCAGACUGAGACAGAAGUGACAUGACUUCCAAUCUGAAGUUGUGAAUUAGGUAAUAAAAUGAUCUAAUUUUUCCUUUUAAAAGAUCACCAUAGGCGGCUCUGUAAAGCACAGACAAUGCAGAGCAAGAAUGGAAGCUAGAUGACUAGUUAGAAGGCAAGAACAGAAAACAAACAGUGGCUUGAUCUAUGGUAACUAUUCUGGAGGUAAGUGGUUAGAUUGGGAUAUAUUAACAAGGCAGAGAUUUGCUGAAAUGAAGGGGAAGAAGCAAAGAUAAAUCUCAUUUGGCCUUGCCAAGUGAAUAAAUGGUCGUGUCACCACUAAAAGGAGGAUGGGAACGCAAGUAGAAAUGAAAAGUUCCAUUCAUAACAUCCACUGCACAACUGGCUAUACCCUUCAUGUGGAAACAAUAAUGAACAUUUUUUCCUGACUUAU